UGCUCUCUGGGUGGCGAGUGGCGGACGGGUGAGGAAUACAUCGGAAUCUACUCUGUCGUGGGGGAUAACGUAGGGAAACUUACGCUAAUACCGCAUACGACCUACGGGUGAAAGCAGGGGACCUUCGGGCCUUGCGCGAUUGAAUGAGCCGAUAUCGGAUUAGCUAGUUGGCGGGGUAAAGGCCCACCAAGGCGACGAUCCGUAGCUGGUCUGAGAGGAUGAUCACCCACACUGGAACUGAGACACGGUCCAGACUCCUACGGGAGGCAGCAGUGGGGAAUAUUGGACAAUGGGCGCAAGCCUGAUCCAGCCAUACCGCGUGGGUGAAGAAGGCCUUCGGGUUGUAAAGCCCUUUUGUUGGGAAAGAAAUCCAGCCGGCUAAUACCUGGUUGGGAUGACGGUCCCCAAAGAAUAAGCACCGGCUAACUUCGUGCCAGCAGCCGCGGUAAUACGAAGGGUGCAAGCGUUACUCGGAAUUACUGGUCGUAAAGCGUGCGUAGGUGGUCGUUUAAGUCCGUUGUGAAAGCCCUGGGCUCAACCUGGGAACUGCAGUGGAUACUGGGCGACUAGAAUGUGGUAGAGGGUAGCGGAAUUCCUGGUGUAGCAUUGAAAUGCGUAGAGAUCAGGAGGAACAUCCAUGGCGAAGGCAGCUACCUGGACCAACAUUGACCUGAGGCACGAAGCGUGUGGAGCAAACAGGAUUAGAUACCCUGGUAGUCCACGCCCUAAACGAUGCGAACUGGAUGUUGGGUGCAAUUUGGCACGCAGUAUCGAAGCUAACGCGUUAAGUUCGCCGCCUGGGGAGUACGGUCGCAAGACUGAA
rnacentral:rRNA from 1 species